GUGGGGAAUCUUGCGCAAUGGGCGAAAGCCUGACGCAGCCAUGCCGCGUGAAUGAUGAAGGUCUUAGGAUUGUAAAAUUCUUUCACCGGGGACGAUAAUGACGGUACCCGGAGAAGAAGCUCCGGCUAACUUCGUGCCAGCAGCCGCGGUAAUACGAAGGGGGCUAGCGUUGCUCGGAAUUACUGGGCGUAAAGGGCGCGUAGGCGGACAGCUUAGUCAGAGGUGAAAGCCCAGGGCUCAACCUUGGAAUUGCCUUUGAUACUGGCUGUCUUGAGUGUGGGAGAGGUGAGUGGAACUCCGAGUGUAGAGGUGAAAUUCGUAGAUAUUCGGAAGAACGCCAGUGGCGAAGGCGACUCACUGGCCCAAUACUGACGCUGAGGCGCGAAAGCGUGGGGAGCAAACAGGAUUAGAAACCCUUGUAGUCC
rnacentral:rRNA from 1 species